rnacentral:rRNA from 1 species
GACGAACGCUGGCGGCGUGCCUAAUACAUGCAAGUUGAGCGAUGAAGAUUGGUGCUUUCACUAAUUUGAAGAGCAGCUAACGGGUGAGUAACGCGUGGGGAAUCUGCCUUUUAGCGGGGGACAACAUUUGGAAACGAAUGCUAAUACCGCAUAACAACUUUAAACAUAAGUUUUAAGUUUGAAAGAUGCAAUUGCAUCACUCAAAGAUGAUCCCGCGUUGUAUUAGCUAGUUGGUGAGGUAAAGGCUCACCAAGGCGAUGAUACAUAGCCGACCUGAGAGGGUGAUCGGCCAAAACGGGACUGAGACACGGCACAAACUCCUACGGGAGGCAGCAGUAGGGAAUCAUCGGAAAUGGACGAAAGUCUGACCGAGCAACGCCGCGUGAGGGAAGAAGGUUUUCGGAUCGUAAAACUCUGUUGGUAGAGAAGAACGUUGGUGAGAGUGGAAAGCUCAUCAAGUGACGGUAACUACACAGAAAGGGACGGCUAACUACGUG